CGGUACGAGAUGAGCCCGCGGCCUAUCAGCUUGUUGGUGGGGUAAUGGCCUACCAAGGCGUCGACGGGUAGCCGGCCUGAGAGGGUGGACGGCCACAUUGGGACUGAGAUACGGCCCAGACUCCUACGGGAGGCAGCAGUGGGGAAUAUUGCACAAUGGGCGCAAGCCUGAUGCAGCGACGCCGCGUGAGGGAUGACGGCCUUCGGGUUGUAAACCUCUUUCGACAGGGACGAAGCUUUUUGUGACGGUACCUGUAUAAGAAGCACCGGCUAACUACGUGCCAGCAGCCGCGGUAAUACGUAGGGUGCGAGCGUUGUCCGGAAUUACUGGGCGUAAAGAGCUCGUAGGUGGUUUGUCGCGUCGUCUGUGAAAUUCCGGGGCUUAACUCCGGGCGUGCAGGCGAUACGGGCAUAACUUGAGUGCUGUAGGGGAGACUGGAAUUCCUGGUGUAGCGGUGGAAUGCGCAGAUAUCAGGAGGAACACCGAUGGCGAAGGCAGGUCUCUGGGCAGUAACUGACGCUGAGGAGCGAAAGCAUGGGGAGCGAACAGGAUUAGAUACCCUGGUAGUCCAUGCCGUAAACGGUGGGCGCUAGGUGUGAGGGUCUUCCACGACUUUCGUGCCGUAGCUAACGCAUUAAGCGCCCCGCCUGGGGAGUACGGCCGCAAGGCUAAAACUCAAAGGA
rnacentral:rRNA from 1 species